rnacentral:lncRNA from 1 species
UGGAGUUCGUGUUGCUCGGUCUUUAGUUCUUUAUGUUACGUUUGUGUACUAAAUUGUAUUUGUUAUGUCUAUUAUAUUCGGGUGAAUGCGGAGAUCGCCAAGCUAGAAAACGGUUGACAUUUUCUUCAUUAUGAACUAGAACUAUUUUCGACCUUGGUGCCUUAUUUUUGUUAAAAUCUAAACACUGCGACGUGUUUUCAAAAUCUUUGUUCCCAUAAACUUCAUUUCAUUAAGUUGUCUUCUCAGAAUAUCAGCCAUCUGUCUGGCACAGGAUAACAACUCAAUAUUUAAGUAAAUUUAAGUUGUGUGGUAAUUGUUAGUACAUUUGGGUAAAUUAAUCUUAUCUUUAUGCCGCAUUUAAGCAUCUCUAUAAUUCAACACAUCCCUGAGCCACGACAUUAUAUAUUUUAUGCACUGCAUGCGCUUCUUUUUAUCACAAUCCAGACCGGCU